CGCCGGUUCCUCCUCCGGCCUCCGCCGGGAAACGUUAGGGAGGAGGUUUUCAGACCGCUCACCCCUCACUCCUCGAGCGCGAAACGGGGUGGGAAAGGUGAAAUUGGGGUCAGGGUUUCUGCCUGGCGAGAAAGAAGGCGUCUGCAUAGGUCAUUUUGAGCAUGUUUUGUGCGCAGUCAUGCAAAGUUACAGGCCGGUCCCUUCCGCCUGGGGAAUGGCCUGUCUCCGCUGAGUGAAAAUGCCGUAUUUAUCCGUUAAUCAGAAACGCAUCGAGCAGAGCAUCUACCUAUCUACGUGAGGCCCUCAAUCUACUUAAGCCCCAACAUGCAAAUACUAAAGAAGAAACAAUAAUGCUCUUCUCCCAAAGCUCCUAAUUGCACUGGUCUUGAACCUCCAGCUGUACUGAAGUUCAUUUGUGCCUUUCUGAGGGAGCAAAGAGCAAGCAGGCUGUGCAAAUAAGACAUAGCAGGCCUCAGCCAGCUAUCCUUAGAAAAGCCUACUGAUAAGGUAGGCCCUUGGCUGGUAUCUGUGAACUUGGAUUUCGGGAGUGCUCCCACCAUUCCUGGAAUUGAUAAGAAUGACUAUCUAGAC